AGAAUCUUUCUUUGGGGAUAAAAACUGUUUCUGUGAAUGUGAGACAUGUGAAAGACGUAAAACUGGUGCAUACCGGCCAAAGGACGGCUCUAAAUCCGACGUUCCAAUGACGUUUAGUAAUAAAUAUGGACUUCGUGAAACAGAUAAAAGGUUACAUCGAUUACAGAAGGAAAGAAAA